GUCACCACGAGAUUCAAUACGGCCGUACAAAAUAGGCGGAGAAUGUAUACAAAUGGAAAUAAUUAGAUAAUAGUGUUAAGGAAAUGAAUAUUCAAACAUCAUAGGAAUAGAAGUAUACACACAAUCAUACCGAUACAAACUGUUGUGCAACGAAAGAGUAGCAAAUAUCCGUUUACCAUGCCUCAGAAAUUUAAUGAAAAGAAUGGAUGCUUUGCAAGGUUGCCUGAUUUUGAACUAACCAAGCGUGAAUUCCGUAGAUAGAGACAUAAUACAAUAUUGAUAACGUUUUGUAAAUCAGCUUU